CUGAAUCUGAUCCAGAAUCUGAUCCUCCCAUAUUUCAGGGCACUUAAUGAACACCUGCUCCAGAGAAGCUGCAGAGGAUGGUGCUGGAGCUGCACCGGGUGGCUUUUCGAUGAACGUGAUGCGUGGGUAAAAGAUCAAACAUGGAGACUCCUCCGCAGGGCUCGGGGUUUUUCACAGGCGCCACAUGCUGGGCUUUCUCAUUCGGAUUCAAAGGAAUUGGAUGGCUGCAAUCAUGAUGACUGAGGACUGAGCUCACUGUCCUCUUCUCUCGUUUUGAUCCUGACAAUCACGCAGACACACACCGACCACACUGACAUUCAGCUCACCCUUUCAUCGGACACACAAACCCUGAGAGGAACACUGAGACACAACGCUGGAGCAACUGUUUGAUAUGAAGGAUAUGGAGCUCAAAAAGAAAGAGAGGAAACAUGGACGACAUGUGCAGGUGGAGCCAAGGAGCCACUUGAGGAAAAUGAGCAUGCUUCUGACACCGUACUCUUCUUACAAAUGAGGC